rnacentral:rRNA from 1 species
AAUGGGCGAGAGCCUGAUCCAGCCAUGCCGCGUGUGUGAAGAAGGCCUUCGGGUUGUAAAGCACUUUAAGCGAGGAGGAAGGUUCGUUACUUAAUACGUAACGGAAUUGACGUUACUCGCAGAAUAAGCACCGGCUAACUCUGUGCCAGCAGCCGCGGUCAUACAGAGGGUGCAAGCGUUAAUCGGAAUUACUGGGCGUAAAGCGCGCGUAGGCGGUUGUGUAAGUUGGAUGUGAAAUCCCCGGGCUUAACCUGGGCACUGCAUUCAAAACUGCACGGCUAGAGUAUGGGAGAGGAAGGUAGAAUUCCAGGUGUAGCGGUGAAAUGCGUAGAGAUCUGGAGGAAUACCGAUGGCGAAGGCAGCCUUCUGGCCUAAUACUGACGCUGAGCUGCGAAAGCAUGGGGAGCAAA